GACGAACGCUGGCGGCGUGCUUAAUACAUGCAAGUCAACUUGACUUUAGAUAGCAAUAUCGAAAAGUAGGGUGGCGCACGGGUGCGUAACGCGUAGGUAAUCUGCCCUGAGGUCUGACAUAACCCGUCGAAAGGCGGGCUAACAUCAGAUGAUAUAUAAUCACGACAUCGUGGAAAUAUCAAAUCUUCGGAGCCUUGGGAUGAGCCUGCGUCUGAUUAGGGUAGUUGGCGGAGUAAUAGCCCACCAAGCCUACGAACAGUAGCUGGUCUGAGAGGAUGAUCAGCCACACUGGAACUGAGACACGGUCCAGACUCCUACGGGAGGCAGCAGUAAGGAAUAUUGCUCAAUGGGGGAAACCCUGAAGCAGCAACGCCGCGUGAAGGAUGAAAUACUUUUGAUGUAAACUUCUGUAAGAUGGGAAAAAUAUUCUCCUCGGGAGAAUUGAUUGUACCAUCAGAGUAAGCCCCGGCUAACUACGUG
rnacentral:rRNA from 1 species